CUGGUGUGUUCAGAGCCAGUUUCUGGAAGACCAUAGAUUCUGGUUUAUACCACACCACACAGCAACAUGGAGGAACAUGCACGUGCAAAUAUGAAGUCACCAUGUGUCUGCACAUUGCACGCACUCCACACAC